CACAGCAAUGUGCAGCGAGCAGCGACGUCACCUGCAGAAAAGAUCAGUUCCUCUAGAAGCUCAAAGAGCCCUAAGAAAUUACAAGAUCACCAUUUAGUCAGCUUUCCCGGCCUUACCACCGGACACUACCUACCAACCAAAACUCGACGAAGCAGUGGCGGCGCCAGAACUUUGAUCUUGCCAAUCAAAAUUAAAAAUAGAGUCCUUAUAUAUAAACUAAUGUCUGCCAAACCAUCAAUAUGGUAGUCAUAUAUUGUGUGCCUAACUAUUUACAGAACUGAACACCUUGCAAACACUAGCUGUAAUGAGACAUACUACUUUUAUGUGCUUCAGCCUAUCUAAUUAUAGAAUUAUAUUACAUACUA